CCUACGGGGGGCAGCAGUGGGGAAUAUUGCACAAUGGGGGAAACCCUGAUGCAGCGACGCCGCGUGAGUGAAGAAGUAUUUCGGUAUGUAAAGCUCUAUCAGCAGGGAAGAAAAUGACGGUACCUGAUUAAGAAGCCCCGGCUAACUACGUGCCAGCAGCCGCGGUAAUACGUAGGGGGCAAGCGUUAUCCGGAUUUACUGGGUGUAAAGGGAGCGUAGACGGCAGCACAAGUCUGGAGUUAAAUGGCGGGGCUUAACCCCGGAACUGCUUUGGAAACUGUGCAGCUAGAGUGCAGAAGAGGUAAGUGGAAUAACUAGUGUAGCGGUGAAAUGCGUAGAUAUAAGGAAGAACACCAGUGGCGAAGGCGGCUUACUGGACUGUAACUGACGUUGAAGCUCGAGAGCGUGGGGAGCGAACAGGAUUAGAUACCCUUGUAGUC
rnacentral:rRNA from 1 species